rnacentral:tRNA from 1 species
GCCUGGGUGGCUCAGUCGGUUAAGCGUCCGACUUUGGCUCAGGCCCUGAUCUCACAGUUCGUGGGUUCGAGCCCCACAUCAGGCU